rnacentral:rRNA from 2 species
GGAGCUUGCUCCCAAGAUUAUCGGCGGACGGGUGAGUAACACGUGGGCAACCUGCCUGUAAGACUGGGAUAACUUCGGGAAACCGGAGCUAAUACCGGAUAAUCCUUUUCUACUCAUGUAGAAAAGCUGAAAGAUGGCUUCGGCUAUCACUUACAGAUGGGCCCGCGGCGCAUUAGCUAGUUGGUGAGGUAACGGCUCACCAAGGCGACGAUGCGUAGCCGACCUGAGAGGGUGAUCGGCCACACUGGGACUGAGACACGGCCCAGACUCCUACGGGAGGCAGCAGUAGGGAAUCUUCCGCAAUGGACGAAAGUCUGACGGAGCAACGCCGCGUGAGUGAUGAAGGUUUUCGGAUCGUAAAACUCUGUUGUUAGGGAAGAACAAGUACCGUUCGAAUAGGGCGGUACCUUGACGGUACCUAACCAGAAAGCCACGGCUAACUACGUGCCAGCAGCCGCGGUAAUACGUAGGUGGCAAGCGUUGUCCGGAAUUAUUGGGCGUAAAGCGCGCGCAGGUGGUUUCUUAAGUCUGAUGUGAAAGCCCCCGGCUCAACCGGGGAGGGUCAUUGGAAACUGGGAGACUUGAGUGCAGAAGAGGAAAGUGGAAUUCCAAGUGUAGCGGUGAAAUGCGUAGAGAUUUGGAGGAACACCAGUGGCGAAGGCGACUUUCUGGUCUGUAACUGACACUGAGGCGCGAAAGCGUGGGGAGCGAACAGGAUUAGAUACCCUGGUAGUCCACGCCGUAAACGAUGAGUGCUAAGUGUUAGAGGGUUUCCGCCCUUUAGUGCUGCAGCAAACGCAUUAAGCACUCCGCCUGGGGAGUACGGCCGCAAGGCUGAAACUCAAAGGAAUUGACGGGGGCCCGCACAAGCGGUGGAGCAUGUGGUUUAAUUCGAAGCAACGCGAAGAACCUUACCAGGUCUUGACAUCCUCUGACAAUCCUAGAGAUAGGACGUUCCCCUUCGGGGGACAGAGUGACAGGUGGUGCAUGGUUGUCGUCAGCUCGUGUCGUGAGAUGUUGGGUUAAGUCCCGCAACGAGCGCAACCCUUGAUCUUAGUUGCCAGCAUUCAGUUGGGCACUCUAAGGUGACUGCCGGUGACAAACCGGAGGAAGGUGGGGAUGACGUCAAAUCAUCAUGCCCCUUAUGACCUGGGCUACACACGUGCUACAAUGGAUGGUACAAAGGGCUGCAAGACCGCGAGGUUUAGCCAAUCCCAUAAAACCAUUCUCAGUUCGGAUUGCAGGCUGCAACUCGCCUGCAUGAAGCCGGAAUCGCUAGUAAUCGCGGAUCAGCAUGCCGCGGUGAAUACGUUCCCGGGCCUUGUACACACCGCCCGUCACACCACGAGAGUUUGUAACACCCGAAGUCGGUGGGGUAACCGCAAGGAGCCAGCCGGUCUAAGGUGGGAC